rnacentral:lncRNA from 1 species
AUAAAUUUUACUAUUAAUUUUCACUUCCAUUUUAGAACUUUUACCAUUCGAUUUCACACUUGCAAGUUGAUUCCUUCUCUUAAAAAUAUCUAUAACAUAUAUAGAGAGAGAAAGUUCAGCUACUAUACUUUUAUAAAUAUAAAUUUCUUUAUAUUCAUAAGUUUUCUGCCGUUGCCAUUAGAUCUACAUUUUGACUAUUUUCAUUCGUUAAAUCAUAUUAUUCAACCAACUACUUAUUCAAUUUUAAAAAAUUACUAUUAUUUUAAUCGGAGAUCAUUAUCAUUUUAACUGCAUAUCUUUUUAUCCAAUGACAAAAAAUUUAUAAGUAUAAAAAGAUCAAUACUUAUAAGAGUAUAAUAACCCUAGCCUAGAAAUGUUGAAUAUAUGACCUGGCUUCUAGUAAAAUUU